CGCUGUUAUCCCUAAGGUAAUUUAGUCUUUUAAUCACUAAAAAUGGAUCAAAAAUAUAUAAAUAAAUAUAAAAAAAUAAAAAGAGUUAUUUUAAUCUUCCUAUCACCCCAACAAAAUUUACACAACAUUAAAUUUUGACCCACAAAAAAUAUUUAAAUAAAUUAAACUCUAUAGGGUCUUCUCGUCCCAAAAAAAUAUUUAGGCAUUUUAACCCAAAAUUUAAAUUCAACAUAAUAAAAAUCAAAGACAGUAAUUACCUCGUCAAACCAUUCAUUCCAGCCUACAAUUAAAAGACUAAUGAUUAUGCUACCUUUGCACGGUCAAAAUACCGCGGCCCUUCAAAUAAUCAGCGGGCAGGUCAUACAUCAUAAUAACAACAAAAAGAGAUGUUUUUGUUAAACAGGCG
rnacentral:rRNA from 1 species